rnacentral:rRNA from 1 species
GACCGAGGGUGCGAACGUUGUUCGGAAUUAUUGGGCGUAAAGGGCUCGUAGGCGGUUUGUCGCGUCGGGAGUGAAAACUCAGGGCUUAACCCUGAGCCUGCUUCCGAUACGGGCAGACUAGAGGUAUGCAGGGGAGAACGGAAUUCCUGGUGUAGCGGUGAAAUGCGCAGAUAUCAGGAGGAACACCGGUGGCGAAGGCGGUUCUCUGGGCAUUACCUGACGCUGAGGAGCGAAAGUGUGGGGAGCGAACAGG